rnacentral:rRNA from 1 species
UACGAAGGGGGCUAGCGUUGCUCGGAAUGACUGGGCGUAAAGGGUGCGUAGGCGGGUCUUUAAGUCAGAGGUGAAAUCCUGGAGCUCAACUCCAGAACUGCCUUUGAUACUGAGGGUCUUGAGUAUGACAGAGGUGAGUGGAACUGCGAGUGUAGAGGUGAAAUUCGUAGAUAUUCGCAAGAACACCAGUGGCGAAGGCGGCUCACUGGCCCGGUACUGACGCUGAGGUGCGAAAGCGUGGGGAGCAAACAGG